rnacentral:rRNA from 1 species
UACGUAGGGACCAAGCGUUGUUCGGAUUUACUGGGCGUAAAGGGCGCGUAGGCGGCGUGACAAGUCACUUGUGAAAUCUCUGGGCUUAACCCAGAACGGCCAAGUGAAACUGUUGUGCUAGAGUGCAGAAGGGGCAAUCGGAAUUCUCGGUGUAGCGGUGAAAUGCGUAGAUAUCGAGAGGAACACCAGAGGUGAAGACGGGUUGCUGGGCUGACACUGACGCUGAGGCGCGAAAGCCAGGGGAGCAAGCGGG